rnacentral:ncRNA from 1 species
GAAACCGGGAGAGACCGCCGUUACGGCGGCGCCGAAGGGGCCGCAAGAACUCUCAGGCAAAAGGACCGGUUUU